rnacentral:rRNA from 1 species
GACGAACGCUGGCGGCGUGCUUAACACAUGCAAGUCGAACGGAAAGGCCCUGCUUUUGUGGGGUGCUCGAGUGGCGAACGGGUGAGUAACACGUGAGUAACCUGCCCUUGACUUUGGGAUAACUUCAGGAAACUGGGGCUAAUACCGGAUAGGAGCUCCUGCUGCAUGGUGGGGGUUGGAAAGUUUCGGCGGUUGGGGAUGGACUCGCGGCUUAUCAGCUUGUUGGUGGGGUAGUGGCUUACCAAGGCUUUGACGGGUAGCCGGCCUGAGAGGGUGACCGGCCACAUUGGGACUGAGAUACGGCCCAGACUCCUACGGGAGGCAGCAGUAGGGAAUAUUGCACAAUGGGCGGAGGCCUGAUGCAGCAACGCCGCGUGCGGGAUGACGGCCUUCGGGUUGUAAACCGCUUUCGCCUGUGACGAAGCGUGAGUGACGGUAAUGGGUAAAGAAGCACCGGCUAACUACGUG